AUGGUCUAGGGAAAGGCUCUUGUGCUGUUGAACCUGCCCAGUGAUAUGUGCAGCCUUGUACCGGGCAGCCCAACCCUGACCUAAAGUAAAUUUCCAGAAGUCUUUCCUGGGUUUUGAAUUGCAGUAACAGGUGUGAGCAUUCUAGCAGCAGUUAGAUGAUCAUGUAUGAUACUGCAAACAGGA
rnacentral:snoRNA from 1 species